GAAUAUUGAGUGUAACUGAAUGGGAAGCUUCUAAGAAGCUGGAGGUGGGGGUUAAAGUAAAUCUCUGAUUUUUUAAUAAGGAUACCUAAGCUAAAAUGAGAAUUGAAAAAAGGGGCAAAAUGCAAAAACUAGUUCCUAGGGGCUUCCCUAAUGCCUUACCUAUAAAGGCAUAUCUAUCUUCCAUUUCAAGAAAGUUUCAGAGAUAAAAAUACAAAAAAAUAAAAAGCGACUGAAAACACAAAAAGAAAAAAAAAACAAGACUGUUCCAGUGCAGUUUCUUCUAUAAUUUUGGAGACUUUUAACUUCUGAAGAUUUACUGAUUAAUCUGGUGUGGAAAUGGAUUAAGUUUUGGGUGUUUGAUGUUUGGUUUGAAGUCUCUUUGGUUAUUAUUCGAUUAAGACUGUCUUUUACUGCUUCGUAUCCAAUUUUCUGGUUUGCAUUAGUGUUACUGGUGCUGAAUUCUGCUAAGUAGUGCUGCUAAUUCUUCACUUUGUUCUUUGCUUUCAAUAUCCAAAUACUUAUUUUAAGACUUGCAAAAUGUGAAUCCAAACUUGAUGAAUGAAAUGGACAGAGAACCUUGAAGCAAUGCAUUAAAUUUGUUCAUUUUUUAUAGCUUAGCCGUAUUUUUGCUUUGUUCAUACAAUGUCACUCAUGUUUCCUUUGGAAAUCAUCAGAAUGCGUAGAGUAGUCCGAUCUCCCCUUCAUCAUGUUCACCCUUAAUUAUUUAGCUUUAAACGUGCUCUGUAAUAUUGGAUGGAUCAUGGACUUUAGCC
rnacentral:lncRNA from 1 species